rfam:Oryza glaberrima chromosome 3 Oglab03_0072_2, whole genome shotgun sequence.
GGAGGAGACUGAUGAUGGAACCGUCUGACACGCCGCCCCCCGCCGGCGCCGACGGUGCCUCCAAGGUCGACCCUCCAGCUCGUCUCUCCCCGUCGUCACCUACCUCUCUCUGUCACUCGCUCGCUCGCUCACUCUUGCGCCUGAUUUGCUUC